rnacentral:rRNA from 1 species
AUGCCGCGUGUGUGAAGAAGGCCUUCGGGUUGUAAAGCACUUUCAGUUGUGAGGAAAAGUUAGUAGUUAAUACCUGCUAGCCGUGACGUUAACAACAGAAGAAGCACCGGCUAACUCCGUGCCAGCAGCCGCGGUAAUACGGAGGGUGCGAGCGUUAAUCGGAAUUACUGGGCGUAAAGCGCACGCAGGCGGUUUGUUAAGCUAGAUGUGAAAGCCCCGGGCUCAACCUGGGAUGGUCAUUUAGAACUGGCAGACUAGAGUCUUGGAGAGGGGAGUGGAAUUCCAGGUGUAGCGGUGAAAUGCGUAGAUAUCUGGAGGAACAUCAGUGGCGAAGGCGACUCCCUGGCCAAAGACUGACGCUCAUGUGCGAAAGUGUGGGUAGCGAACAGGAUUAGAUACCCUGGUAGUCCACACCGUAAACGCUGUCUACUAGCUGUUUGUGACUUUAAGUCGUGAGUAGCGAAGCUAACGCGCUAAGUAGACCGCCUGGGGAGUACGGCCGCAAGGUUAAAACUCAAAUGAAUUGACGGGGGCCCGCACAAGCGGUGGAGCAUGUGGUUUAAUUCGAUGCAACGCGAAGAACCUUACCUACACUUGACAUGCAGAGAACUUUCUAGAGAUAGAUUGGUGCCUUCGGGAACUCUGACACAGGUGCUGCAUGGCUGUCGUCAGCUCGUGUCGUGAGAUGUUGGGUUAAGUCCCGCAACGAGCGCAACCCUUGUCCUU